rnacentral:rRNA from 1 species
GACGAACGCUGGCGGCGUGCCUAACACAUGCAAGUCGAACGGAAAGGUCCUGCUUUUGUGGGGUGCUCGAGUGGCGAACGGGUGAGUAACACGUGAGUAACCUGUCCCUGACUUUGGGGUAACUUCAGGAAACUGGGGGUAUUACCGGAUAGGAGCUCUUGCUGCAUGGUGGGGGUUGGUAAGAUUCGGCGGUUGGGGAUGGACUCGCGGCUUACCAGCUUGUUGGUGGGGUAGUGGCUUACCAGGGUAUUGACGGGUAGGCGGCCUGGGAGGGGGACCGGCCACAUUGGGACUGAGAUACGGCCCAGACUCCAACGGGAGGCAGCGGUGGGGAAUAUUGCACAAUAGGCGGGAGCCAGAUGCAACAACGCCGCGUGCGGGAAGACGGCCUUCGGGUUGUAAACCGCUUUCGCCUGUGACGAAGCGUGAGUGACGGUAAUGGGUAAAGAAGCACCGGCUAACUACGUG